rnacentral:rRNA from 1 species
CCUACGGGAGGCAGCAGUGAGGAAUAUUGGUCAAUGGCCGGAAGGCUGAACCAGCCAAGCCGCGUGAAGGACGAAGGUGCCACGCAUUGUAAACUUCUUUUGUCAAGGGACAAAAUCAGGCUCGAGAGCCUGACCGAGGGUACUUUAAGAAAAAGCAUCGGCUAACUCCGUGCCAGCAGCCGCGGUAAUACGGAGGAUGCGAGCGUUAUCCGGAUUUAUUGGGUUUAAAGGGUGCGUAGGCGGACUGUUAAGUCAGCGGUAAAAGCCCGGGGCUCAACCCCGGCGAGCCGUUGAAACUGUGGCCCUUGAGUGCGCGAAGGGUAGGCGGAAUGCGUGGUGUAGCGGUGAAAUGCAUAGAUAUCACGCAGAACUCCGAUCGCGAAGGCAGCCUACCGGCGCGCAACUGACGCUCAUGCACGAAAGCGUGGGUAUCGAACAGGAUUAGAUACCCCUGUAGUC